rnacentral:rRNA from 1 species
UACGAAGGGGGCUAGCGUUGUUCGGAAUUACUGGGCGUAAAGCGCGCGCAGGCGGUUUUUCAAGUCAGUGGUGAAAGCCCGGAGCUCAACUCCGGAACUGCCAUUGAAACUGUAAAACUUGAGGACGAGAGAGGUGAGUGGAAUUCCCAGUGUAGAGGUGAAAUGCGCAGAUAUCGGGAGGAACACCAACGGCGAAGGCAGCACUCUGGGCUGGAACUGACGCUGAGGAGCGAAAGCGAUGGGUAGCAAACGAGGA